rnacentral:rRNA from 1 species
AGAGUUUGAUCCUGGCUCAGAAUCAACGCUGGCGGCGUGCCUAACACAUGCAAGUCGAACGCGAAAGGGGAGCAAUCCCUGAUUAGAGUGGCAAACGGGUGAGUAACACGUGGGUGACCUGCCUUCGAGUGGGGGAUAACCUUCCGAAAGGAGGGCUAAUACCGCAUGACAUACCGUGUUUGGAUACACGGAUAUCAAAGCCGGGGAUCGCAAGACCUGGCGCUUGGAGAGGGGCCCGCGUCCGAUUAGCUAGUUGGUGAGGUAACGGCUCACCAAGGCUCCGAUCGGUAUCCGGCCUGAGAGGGCGGACGGACACACUGGAACUGAGACACGGUCCAGACUCCUACGGGAGGCAGCAGUGGGGAAUUGUUCGCAAUGGGCGAAAGCCUGACGACGCAACGCCGCGUGGAGGAUGAAGAAUUUCGGUUCGUAAACUCCUUUCGACCGAGAUGAAUAUCCCGCGAU